AAGACGGUUCAUUCAUUAUGUUUAUGUUGAGAGCAAAUCACAGAUAUUAUGACUUCUUCUCUUCUCUCCACAUUUAUUGGAGAACCAAAUAUCUAUUUUUUUCAAGGAAAACAUUUAUAAAUGCAAAAAAACAGCAACAAUUUUCAUUUUUCUUGGUCUGUCGAUCAGAAAUCUCUUCCUGUGCACUUCCAUAAUAAGGCAUACGCAUAGCAUCUCUCACACAUGUUGGGGAUAUGACUGAUACUCCUUGAUUUGUCUCAUCCUUAAAUAUUGGGAUUGAUUAAAAUUUAGUGGAUCAAUCCUAAAUCGUGUUAUUUGAAGAUGACGAUGAAGAGCUGGAACAAAAUGAUGACUCCGAUGAGGAAAGCUUGGACCAAAUUUUCUAGAAAGAUCCGUCUUAGCAGAUCUUCAGGGCAUGUAAAAUUGCAGCACGACGUGAGGUCGUGCGAAUACGAGGAUGUCCACGUGCUGUGGGAGAUGCUCAAGAGAAACGACACCAAUCUAACAAAAACACCCCAAGAAAGAGUUCGUUUUGGGAGUUUGUAGAUCGCUGCCGCUCUCGUUAAAUAUUCAAUUGCGCUCCUUCAUCUACUUGUAUAUUACUAGCAAUCACCAUUUUUGUCUCCACUUUGGCUUUUGGAAGUGAUUUAGAAUACAAAAUUUCAUGUACAUUCUGUUUAUAAUAAAAUUUAUUGCUCAAUAA